rnacentral:snoRNA from 1 species
GGGUUGAUGAGAAGAAUUCAUAUGGUUCUGAAAAGAGAAAUGAUUACCUAAAACUCAUGUUCAACAGAAGUAUGCUGAGGCCC